rnacentral:rRNA from 1 species
CUUAUUUUUUGAUUAAUAUAUUUUCUGCUCAAUGAAAAAUUUUAAUAGCCACUAUAGUGCUAAGGUAGCAUAAUAAUUUGUUUUUUAAUUGAAAAAUUGAAUGAAAGAAUUCACCAGAGACAAAUUAUUUAAUUAAAAAAAUAGAAUUUUAAUUUGAAUGAAAAAUUUCAAAUUUUUCUUUAAGGCGAUAAGACCCUAUGAACCUUUAUUUCUUGAUUACAUAAGAAAUUUAUUUGGGGUAAAUAAAAAUAAAAAUAUUUUGAUUUAAAUUGAUCUUAACUAAACUAAAUGAAAAAGGUACUCUAGGGAUAACAGCGUUAUAAUCAUUAAAGCCCUUAUUAAAAUGAUUGU